rnacentral:rRNA from 1 species
UACGGAGGGGGCUAGCGUUGUUCGGAAUUACUGGGCGUGAAGCGCGCGUAGGCGGACCUGCAAGUCGGGGGUGAAAGCCCGAGGCUCAACCUCGGAACUGCCUUCGAUACUGCGGGUCUCGAGUCCGGGAGAGGUGAGUGGAAUUCCUAGUGUAGAGGUGAAAUUCGUAGAUAUUCGCAGGAACACCAGUGGCGAAGGCGACUAUCUGGGCUGCAACUGACGCUGAGGCGCGAAGGCUAGGGUAGCAAACAGG